ensembl:snoRNA
AACGAGGCUAGAGUCACGCCUGGACAUUUUCCCGUUGUCCCGGUGUGCUAGAGUUCUCGUAGAAGAAACGUCUUUGCUUAUUCAUUGGCUGUAAUCUGCUGUGAUCCAGUCAAUCACCGACUCAGACACACUC